rnacentral:lncRNA from 1 species
ACUCGGUCUUCGAUCGCUACUCCUUGUGAGGUUAAUCCGUGAUUCGUACAACCUACACUCACCACAUUCAUUCAUACAUUAGCACACAUUAUAUAAACAAGAUUCAUUCACGUACACUUCACUAUUCGUCAUUUUUCAAACUUUAAGCAUUCCAUCUGCGUAUCCAUUUCCUGGUGAGGCUUCAGUAAUGUACCUGCAUUACUUUUCAUUCUCAAGGUACACCAUUAAAAACGUUAACACUCAACGUGACUAAAUCAUGCUUACAUACGUACUUACAUACAAACAUACAUUCACAUCUACAUACAUA